UGCGGUUCUACCCUCCUGUGGGUAGCGAAGUCGUCCCUCGAUGCAUGUUUGCUUGCCCCGCUGACAUUUUUUUUGUCGUUCGGGCAGCCGAAAUGUUGGCGAAAUCCCUGUGUUGGUGCGCGGCCGAGUGCCCCGUUGCUAUCGCUUGGAUUUCUGCCGGCUCUCACGGAUGCGGUGCCUAUUGCUAGCUCUGCGGGGCUCUGUCCCGCAGACUUCGGGAGGUCCCUUGCACGAAUCACUGCUCUUAUACGCCGUCUAGCGUGUUGCCUGCGGCGACCGCAGAUCGUGUCCUGUCGUGACGUCAUUGGCGACGCGGCGGGACAAAGUGUCCGGAGCGUGCUCGCGUGCAUGCGGAAUGCCUCCCUGUCCGUAUGAGCAGCGAUUUCCGGUCUGYGCCGUGCGAAGGCCCGCCCGUUCGGGUCGGUGCCGGAGCCGGCGCGUCGGGUCU
rnacentral:misc_RNA from 1 species